UCCGUUUGAUCCUGCCAGAGGUCACUGCUAUCGGGGUUCGAUUAAGCCAUGCGAGUCGAGAGGGUUCGGCCCUCGGCGUACUGCUCAGUAACACGUGGAUAACCUGCCCUAGGGAAGGGGAUAACCCCGGGAAACUGGGGAUAAUACCCUAUAGAUUACAGAUGCUGGAAUGCCCUGUAAUCCAAAGUUCCGACGCCCUAGGAUGGAUCUGCGGCCGAUUAGGUUGUUGUUGGGGUAAUGGCCCAACAAGCCCGUAAUCGGUACGGGUUGUGGGAGCAAGAGCCCGGAGUUGGAUUCUGAGACACGAAUCCAGGCCCUACGGGGCGCAGCAGGCGCGAAAACUUUACAAUGCGGGCAACCGUGAUAAGGGAACCUCGAGUGCCUGUAAAUGCAGGCUGUUCAGGUGCCUAAAACACACCUGAAGAAAGGGCCGGGCAAGACCGGUGCCAGCCGCCGCGGUAAUACCGGCGGCUCGAGUGGUGGCCGCUUUUAUUGGGCUUAAAGCGUUCGUAGCUGGGUUGUUAAGUCUCUUGGGAAAUCUGGCGGCUUAACCGUCAGGCGUCUAAGGGAUACUGGCAAUCUUGGAACCGGGAGAGGUGAGGGGUACUUCGGGGGUAGGAGUGAAAUCCUGUAAUCCUCGAGGGACCACCUGUGGCGAAGGCGCCUCACCAGAACGGCUUCGACAGUGAGGGACGAAAGCUGGGGGAGCAAACCGGAUUAGAUACCCGGGUAGUCCCAGCCGUAAACUAUGCGCGUUAGGUGUAUCGGUGACCACGAGUUACCGAGGUGCCGAAGGGAAACCGUGAAACGUGCCGCCUGGGAAGUACGGUCGCAAGGCUGAAACUUAAAGGAAUUGGCGGGGGAGCACCACAACAGGUGGAGCCUGCGGUUUAAUUGGACUCAACGCCGGGAAGCUCACCGGAUAAGACAGCAGAAUGAUUGCCGGGCUGAAGACUCUGCAUGACUAGCUGAGAGGAGGUGCAUGGCCGUCGUCAGUUCGUACUGUGAAGCAUCCUGUUAAGUCAGGCAACGAGCGAGACCCA
rnacentral:rRNA from 1 species